CCGUGGGACCUACAGACUCCUGGG
rnacentral:miRNA from 1 species